rnacentral:misc_RNA from 1 species
CAAGCCAUUGUUAUUAUCAUCAUUUUUACGUUUUCACACACAUACUGAUACAUGUAUUUCUCUCAUUUUCAAGAAAGCGGAAACGAUUUGCAUCCAACAAAGAGACAACUGAAUGAGCGGGCACAUUUGUCGGAAUUAAGUGCAUGUGCAUUGGGGAUGUGUUAUGAGUUGUGAAUCGUGAGAGAUCACCGCCACCCAUUUGCAAAUUGACUCGAACACUUGAUUUGAUAUUUGAUCAACAGCUAUCAUCUCUGGUAGGUCGAAAGGGGGACCACAGUUUUUUCCGAGUAUCAGGAGCUUUAAUGCUUGAAGGCCGGUGGUUCAAGUCCAAUGUUGCCUAAUCUGUGUAAAGCUUCACGUGGCGAUU